UACGAAGGGGGCUAGCGUUGCUCGGAAUCACUGGGCGUAAAGCGCACGUAGGCGGCUUUUUAAGUCAGGGGUGAAAUCCUGGAGCUCAACUCCAGAACUGCCUUUGAUACUGGGGAUCUCGAGUCCGGAAGAGGUGAGUGGAACUCCGAGUGUAGAGGUGAAAUUCGUAGAUAUUCGGAAGAACACCAGUGGCGAAGGCGGCUCACUGGUCCGGCACUGACGCUGAGGUGCGAAAGCGUGGGGAGCAAACAGG
rnacentral:rRNA from 1 species